rnacentral:misc_RNA from 1 species
GCAAACUUGGUCAUUUAGAGGAAGUAAAAGUCGUAACAAGGUUUCCGUAGGUGAACCUGCGGAAGGAUCAUUAAAAGUGCGGACUCUUACCGUCCGGCCUCACUUUUAAACCCUUGUGAACUAGUCCCCGUUGCUUCGGCGGGCCAGCACCUUUUACGGUGCCCGGCUGUUCAUCGUCCUGGUGGACGGCUGGAGAGCGCGCCAGAAGACCACUUUAACUCGAAGUUUUGGUGCCUGUCUGAAAAAACACAUAAACGUUAAAACUUUCAACAACGGAUCUCUUGGUUCUCGCAUCGAUGAAGAACGCAGC